rnacentral:rRNA from 1 species
UACGAGGGGGGCUAGCGUUGUUCGGAUUUACUGGGCGUAAAGCGCACGUAGGCGGUUUGUUAAGUCAGAGGUGAAAUCCCGGAGCUCAACUCCGGAACUGCCUUUGAUACUGGCAAGCUAGAGUCCGGAAGAGGUAAGUGGAACUCCUAGUGUAGAGGUGGAAUUCGUAGAUAUUAGGAAGAACACCAGUGGCGAAGGCGGCUUACUGGUCCGGAACUGACGCUGAGGUGCGAAAGCGUGGGGAGCAAACAGG